rnacentral:misc_RNA from 1 species
CCGAGUUUACAACUCCCAAACCCCUGGGAACAUACCACUUGUUGCCUCGGCGGAUCAGCCCGCUCCCGGUAAAACGGGACGGCCCGCCAGAGGACCCCUAAACUCUGUUUCUAUAUGUAACUUCUGAGUAAAACCAUAAAUAAAUCA